GAUGAACGCUGGCGGCGUGCCUAAUACAUGCAAGUCGAGCGAACAGAUAAGGAGCUUGCUCCUUUGACGUUAGCGGCGGACGGGUGAGUAACACGUGGGUAACCUACCUAUAAGACUGGGAUAACUUCGGGAAACCGGAGCUAAUACCGGAUAACAUUUGGAACCGCAUGGUUCUAAAGUGAAAGAUGGUUUUGCUAUCACUUAUAGAUGGACCCGCGCCGUAUUAGCUAGUGUAGUACGCUACAGGCACGAUACGUAGCGACUGAGAGGUGAUCGGCCACACUGGAACUGAGACACGGUCCAGACUCCUACGGGAGGCAGCAGUAGGGAAUCUUCCGCAAUGGGCAAAGCCUGACGGAGCAACGCCGCGUGAGUGAUGAA
rnacentral:rRNA from 1 species